UGGGGAAUAUUGGACAAUGGGCGAAAGCCUGAUCCAGCCAUGCCGCGUGAGUGAUGAAGGCCCUAGGGUUGUAAAGCUCUUUCAACGGUGAAGAUAAUGACGGUAACCGUAGAAGAAGCCCCGGCUAACUUCGUGCCAGCAGCCGCGGUAAUACGAAGGGGGCUAGCGUUGUUCGGAAUUACUGGGCGUAAAGCGCACGUAGGCGGACAUUUAAGUCAGGGGUGAAAUCCCGGGGCUUAACCCCGGAACUGCCUUUGAUACUGGGUGUCUAGAGUCCGGAAGAGGUGAGUGGAAUUCCGAGUGUAGAGGUGAAAUUCGUAGAUAUUCGGAGGAACACCAGUGGCGAAGGCGGCUCACUGGUCCGGUACUGACGCUGAGGUGCGAAAGCGUGGGGAGCAAACA
rnacentral:rRNA from 1 species